rnacentral:rRNA from 1 species
AGAAUCAACGCUGGCGGCGUGCCUCAGACAUGCAAGUCGAACGAUUAAACUUUCCUUCGGGAAAGAUAUAAAGUGGCGCACGGGUGAGUAACACGUAAGUAAUCUACCUUUGAGUGGGGAAUAACCCGGGGAAACCCGAGCUAAUACCGCAUAAUGCAGCGGCACCGCAAGGUGACAGUUGUUAAAGGAGCAAUCCGCUUAAAAGAGGAGCUUGCGGCAGAUUAGCUAGUUGGUAAGGUAAUGGCUUACCAAGGCUACGAUCUGUAACCGGUCUAAGAGGACGGUCGGUCACACUGACACUGAAUAACGGGUCAGACUCCUACGGGAGGCAGCAGUCGGGAAUUUGGGCAAUGGGCGAAAGCCUGACCCAGCAACGCCGCGUGAAGGAUAGAAGUAUUUCGGUAUGUAAACUUUACGAAAAGUAAUAGGGAAGAAUCAAAGUGAACCGGUACCAAGUUUAAUAAAGGUCCGGACUAAACGUACGUAGACCAGCAAGGCCCGC